UACAGAGGUCCCAAGCGUUGUUCGGAUUCAUUGGGCGUAAAGGGCUCGUAGGCGGCCAACUAAGUCGGACGUGAAAUCCCCAGGCUCAACCUGGGAACUGCGUCCGAUACUGGAUGGCUUGAAUCCGGGAGAGGGAUGCAGAAUUCCAGGUGUAGCGGUGAAAUGCGUAGAUAUCUGGAGGAAUACCGGUGGCGAAGGCGGCAUCCUGGACCGGCAUUGACGCUGAGGAGCGAAAGCCAGGGGAGCAAACGGG
rnacentral:rRNA from 1 species